rnacentral:rRNA from 1 species
UACGAAGGGAGCUAGCGUUGUUCGGAAUCACUGGGCGUAAAGCGCACGUAGGCGGAUUUGCCAGUCAGGGGUGAAAUCCCGGGGCUCAACCUCGGAACUGCCUUUGAUACAGCAAGUCUUGAGUUCGAGAGAGGUGGGUGGAAUUCCUAGUGUAGAGGUGAAAUUCGUAGAUAUUAGGAAGAACACCGGUGGCGAAGGCGGCCCACUGGCUCGACACUCGACGCUGAGGAGCGAAAGCGUGGGGAGCGAACAGG